rnacentral:rRNA from 1 species
GAUAAGCGCCGGUAAGGUGAUAUGAACCGUUAUAACCGGCGAUACCCGAAUGGGGAAACCCAGUGUGAUUCGUCACACUAUCAUUAACUGAAUCCAUAGGUUAAUGAGGCGAACCGGGGGAACUGAAACAUCUAAGUACCCCGAGGAAAAGAAAUCAACCGAGAUUCCCCCAGUAGCGGCGAGCGAACGGGGAGGAGCCCAGAGCCUGAAUCAGCAUGUGUGUUAGUGGAAGCGUCUGGAAAGGCGCGCGAUACAGGGUGACAGCCCCGUACACAAAAGCGCAUGUGCUGUGAGCUCGAUGAGUAGGGCGGGACACGUGGUAUCCUGUCUGAAUAUGGGGGGACCAUCCUCCAAGGCUAAAUACUCCUGACUGACCGAUAGUGAACCAGUACCGUGAGGGAAAGGCGAAAAGAACCCCGGCGAGGGGAGUGAAAAAGAACCUGAAACCGUGUACGUACAAGCAGUGGGAGC